UACGAAGGGGGCUAGCGUGCUCGGAAUCACUGGGCGUAAAGGGUGCGUAGGCGGGUCUUUAAGUCAGGGGUGAAAUCCUGGAGCUCAACUCCAGAACUGCCUUUGAUACUGAGGAUCUUGAGUUCGGGAGAGGUGAGUGGAACUGCGAGUGUAGAGGUGAAAUUCGUAGAUAUUCGCAAGAACACCAGUGGCGAAGGCGCUCACUGGCCCGAUACUGACGCUGAGGCACGAAAGCGUGGGGAGCAAACAGG
rnacentral:rRNA from 1 species